GGUUUUCUGUUUUCCCUUAUUUUGGAUUUUUCAUCCAGCCCUGGGCUGUGCUAUAUCAAGAGUGACACUCUUUCCAUAGAUCUACAAGUGUCAGGAGAUGACUGCACACCUCUUGGAGAAAAUGGACAAUUAUUAAUCAGCACAUGUACAGUGAUUACCGAGAACAGCAAAAUUAAACCAGAUGCAGAGUAAUUUAGAUGAAAAUCCCAAUCAGUACAUUUUAAAUAAAGA